rnacentral:rRNA from 1 species
AGUGAACGCUGGCGGUAGGCCUAACACAUGCAAGUCGAACGGCAGCACCGCAAUAGCUUGCUCUUACGGGUGGCGAGUGGCGGACGGGUGAGGAAUACAUCCGAAUCUACUUUUUCGUGGGGGAUAACGUAGGGAAACUUACGCUAAUACCGCAUACGCCCUACGGGUGAAAGCAGGGGAUCUUCGGACCUUUCGCGAUUGAAUGAGCCGAUGUCGGAUUAGCUAGUUGGCGGGGUAAAGGCCCACCAAGGCGACGAUCCGUAGCUGGUCUGAGAGGAUGAUCAGCCACACUGGAACUGAGACACGGUCCAGACUACUACGGGAGGCAGCAGUGGGGAAUAUUGGACAAUGGGCGCAAGCCUGAUCCAGCCAUACCGCGUGGGUGAAGAAGGCCUUCGGGUUGUAAAGCCCUUUUGUUGGGAAAGAAAGGCAGCAGGUUAAUACCCCGCUGUUCUGACGGUACCCAAAGAAUAAGCACCGGCUAACUUCGUG